rnacentral:rRNA from 1 species
UACGGAGGGUGCGAGCGUUGUCCGGAAUCAUUGGGCGUAAAGGGCGCGUAGGUGGCCUGCUAAGCGUGCGGUGAAAGCUCGGGGCUCAACCCCGAGUCGGCCGUGCGGACUGGUGGGCUUGAGCACUGUAGAGGCAGGCGGAAUUCCGGGUGUAGCGGUGGAAUGCGUAGAGAUCCGGAAGAACACCGGUGGCGAAGGCGGCCUGCUGGGCAGUAGCUGACACUGAGGCGCGACAGCGUGGGGAGCAAACAGG